rnacentral:rRNA from 1 species
GAACGCUGGCGGCAUGCUUUACACAUGCAAGUCGAACGGUAACAGGUUAAGCUGACGAGUGGCGAACGGGUGAGUAAUGCAUCGGGACGUGCCCAGUCGUGGGGGAUAACGCAGCGAAAGCUGCGCUAAUACCGCAUACGCCCUGAGGGGGAAAGCGGGGGACCGUAAGGCCUCGCCGCGAUUAGAGCGGCCGAUAUCUGAUUAGCUUGUUGGUGGGGUAAAAGCCCACCAAGGCGACGAUCAGUAGCUGGUCUGAGAGGACGAUCAGCCACACUGGAACUGAGACACGGUCCAGACUCCUACGGGAGGCAGCAGUAGGGAAUAUUGGACAAUGGGCGCAAGCCUGAUCCAGCCAUGCCGCGUGCAGGAUGACGGUCCUAUGGAUUGUAAACUGCUUUUGUACAGGAAGAAACACUGGUUCGUGAACCAGCUUGACGGUACUGUAAGAAUAAGGAUCGGCUAACUCCGUG